rnacentral:sRNA from 1 species
ACCAGACCAAAUGGUUUAUACAGUAAGAUACCGUUGUGGCCAGCAGCUAGCGAUUGAAGCACCUGUGGAUGCAGAUUUGGUUAGCACUGUUCCAGAAUCUGCUACGCCUGCUGCUCUUGCUUAUGCAGGAAAGGUAUUUUCUCUUAAUUAACAUGCAGUGAAUUGCUCUCCCAGCUGUGGAAUAAGAAACCCUUGCCUAUAAAGAGAAACUCAUCAACAUUUCUAAGGAGAAAGGAAGGUUUGGUGGUUAAUGUUGGUUUGUUUACAAGCGUUUUUUAUUUUCCAAGCUUUUUAUCCAAUGACACUAUUUUAGUGAAAACCACUAAAAGGUUCACUGAAAAGAAAAAAACGUUCACUAAAGGGUUCAGAAAUUGGCCCCCUUCUUUUUAAAAAGAUAACAACAUGAAUAUACAGUUGACCCUUGAACAAUUUGGGGGUUAAAGGUGCCAACCCUCUGCACAGUCAAAUCUGUGUAUGCAUUUUAAUGCCCCCAAACUUAAAUAUUGAUAACCUACUGUUGACUGGAAGCCUGACCAAUAACAUAAACAGUUGAUUAACAUAUUUUGUAUAUGUAUUAUAUGCUGUGUUCUUGCAAUAACGUAAGCUAGAGAAAAGUAAAUGCCUUGAAGAAAAUCAUAAGGAGGAGAAAAUAUAUUUACUAUUCCUUACGUGAAAGUGGAUCUUCAUAAAGGUCUUCAUCCUCAUUGUUGUCUUCACGUUGAGUAGGCUGAGGAGGGAAGAGGAAAAGGGGCUGGACUUGCUGUCUCAGGGGUGGCAGAGAUGGAAGAAAAUCCACCUAUAAGUAGACUCAUGUACUUCAAACCCAUGGUGUUCAUCAACUAUAUAUUCAGUGGAAAAAUUUACUUAAAAUAAACGUCUUGAAUCAUCUUCACAAGUCACUGGAAUAUUUGCUUGCUACUAAGUAUGGGUAAUAAUAAAGCUGUUUAUGUUCAUUUAGCGUAAUGUUGUCAGUGUUAUGCUUUAUUUUCAUAACCAGGUAGAUUGUGUAACUGUAGUAAUCCUGGGGUAUAACAUCCAAUAUUCACUACCUUGGAUACUUUAUUAACUUCUAAAAGAAUUAAUAUGCAUACAUUUUAGAAAAGAUUACCUUGAUAAAUGGGUUAAUUACUUCUUAUCCCUAAAAAAGUAUCUCAUUGGUCUACUGGUUUUAUUUAUUUUAAUUCAUUUAUUUAAAAAUUAUCAUUUUGAUGAAUUUUUCUGACAGUGAUUUAAUCUUUGUCGUGUCUUCAUAUGCUUAGUGUUAUCUUUCAAAACAGAGGAAUAAUGUUUAAGACAAAAACAUUAUGAGUCCUCACAAAAUGAAUUGGUUUUUCUACCAAGUAUAUUUUGUUUAGUGGUUUUUCUUUUUGCCUUUUUUCCAAAUAACAAAGGAAAAUUAUUUUGAAAUUUUACUUGAAUAUUGUGGCGGCGACACAAUCUAGAGAAAUAUUCGCCUAUUCUGUAUAUUACUCCUCAUUGUCCUUUCAUUUCUUCUCUAUCAGUGUGGACUUCCAUAUGUGGAGGUGCUGUGUAAAAACCGGUAUGUAGGGAGAACCUUCAUUCAGCCAAACGUGAGGUUAAGACAACUUGGUGUUGCAAAAAAAUUUGGAGUAUUGUCAGACAACUUUAAAGGCAAAAGAAUUGUUCUUGUAGAUGAUUCAAUUGUCAGAGGCAAUACCAUCUUACCUAUAAUAAAACUGCUCAAAGAAUCUGGUGCAAAAGAGGUACACAUUCGAGUAGCUUCACCACCAAUUAAAUAUCCAUGCUUCAUGGGAAUAAACAUUCCUACAAAAGAAGAGCUCAUUGCCAAUAAACCAGAAUUUGAUCACCUUGCAGAAUAUCUAGGAGCAAACAGUGUUGUGUAUCUGUCAGUAGAAGGACUGGUUUCAUCUGUACAAGAAGGGAUAAAGUUUAAAAAACAGAAAGAGAAAAAGCACGAUAUUAUGAUCCAAGAAAAUGGAAAUGGUCUGGAAUGUUUUGCAAAGAGUGGUCAUUGUACAGCUUGUCUCACUGGAAAAUAUCCUGUAGAAUUAGAAUGGUAGCUGGUAGGGUUGGAUGUGUGUAGUUUCAAGAUAGAAAGUUGGUCAAAAAGUUAUAGUGGUCACGUCUCAUCUAUUUACUGUUACAAUGUAAAAUGCCAUGCUUAUGUUUACCUUUAUAAGUUUUGAGAUUUUUUUUUUUUUCUGAAAAGGAUACCAAAGUGCGAUAACUGAACAUUUCUAAUUGCAUAUAAUACAACAAUAUGUGGUGUUCUUUUUUUUACACAAGUAUUGGCUAGCCUUUUUAACCUGGUCAGAGAAGGCAGGUGGUCACUGACAUUUGCCAAGUCCAUGCUUUAAAGGGUUUGCAAGAAGUUAGGGUUAAGGAGAGGUGAUGCCAACAAGACGGUGAGUUAAAUAUAACAUUUCACACAAAGUUUGAAUAGAAUACAUUAUACCUCAUAGGUGUCUAGCCUCUACAGUUCUGGCUGUAGUUAUGACCUUGGCUUCCCUGUCUAACUGUAGACAAAUCUUUAAAAAAAAAACAUAAAAUAUAAUCUGUGGUGCCUCAGUUUCCCCACAUGUGCAAUGGGAUACUUAUAUUAUUAAAUAAUUAAUAAGAAUGUGAAUAAGUGUCAUACUUUUGUGAUUUGAGCCAUCAUUUCACUUCUGAUUUUAAGACAACUCAUGAUUGUUAGCUUUUGGAAAGCUAAUGAUUAUUAACUUUUUGAAAUUAGUUUACAAUUAAGAUUUCAUUAUGAUGGAAGGAGACAUAAUUGGCAGAUCUUUGCCAUCUCUCUUUGAGAUGUCCUAAAAAGGGUUGUAAAAAUCUGUGAAAAAGUUUUUCCUACAUUUGACUAGAAAAUGUGAUCCAUAGUAUUUAGUGCCCUGAUACUAUAAGCUCAGCAAGUAACCUGGUACAUUUGAAAUAAAAACCAAAUUUUUAGAUUCAAACAAUCCCUUUAUCCUUAAUUUAAUUAAUUAUCAUAUGUUUUUUUUAAAUGAAGUGCUUGAUCACUUGCAAACAUAUAUACAUGUAGAUAUACAUAUACAUGUACACAUACACAUAAAUAUUAUUGCAAUUAAGUGAUCAAAUACAGACACAAUAGGGGCCAGUUUUGUUUAAGGAUCAAAGAGACAACCACUUUGGGGAAUUAGUAUCAACUUACAAUCCAAGUCCAAGUAUCAUCUUAUAAUCACUUUUUUCUACUUUAUUAAGAUCUAAUGAAUUUGAUUUUUUUGAAGUUUUUUCAUGUAACAUCUGAGAUUUAGAAGUUUAAGAUGACUUGACCCCAAACCUUUGUUUAUGUAAGAAUUUUUAAACAUAGAAGUGUUUGUUUCUGUUAUGUUACCAUAAUUUGAUGUAUAUAGUGUCCAGAUCCAUUUAGAAAUUUAAUAUUUAUUAAUAACUGAAACUGUUUGUCUUCCUUUGGUAUAUAGUCUCACAUAUUAUAUUAUAGCAGGCCAAGAUAAAAUUUUGACAGCUCUUUAAGCCCACAUGCAGCAGUGGGUCAGAUAACGCUGUGGCAGUGACACAGGCAAAUUGGCAUUUGAAUAAAGCCCUGGGACCACCUCAACAUGUGUAGCCUCUUGUCUUAAAUGUACUCCCCAUGGCAGCAUGGAGGAGGCAAGACCUGUGGGUCAAUUUUGAACUGGCCUUACUUUGAUUUUUAAAACAAGAGACUCAGGGAAAGUACUAAACCAAAAUCUCUGAUUUUACUUUGCGUUUUCUGUAGUUUUUGUUUUACUGAGAUGCUUUUGUAAAGGAAAAUAAUAACUGUGACAGUUUGGUAAUUCUACAGAUUUCUUAAUAUUUCUCCAUCAUGGCCUUUUACUUCACAAUUUUCUGAAGUCUGAAUUCAAUUACAAUUUUUUUUUUUUACCAAUUUAAUCUCAAAUGUUGUUUAACUGCUUUAAAUUCAUAUACAUAGAGUAUUAUAAACUGCAGAGAUUAAAAAUGUGUUUUCACGGGAUUUAUAUUGUGAACUAAACUAAGCCUACUUUUUUGACUUACUUGUGAUGCCUUGUUGAUAAAUAUGUGUAAUAAGUAUGUUU